rnacentral:lncRNA from 1 species
AGGCAAGAGUGUGUUGAAGAAUUAUGAAAUUUCCUUUUAUCUUUGUACAGUGGAUACCGUCAGACAUCUUUAGAAGCUUCCUAAAUCUGUGUCUGUCCUGGGUUUGUUCUUGGUACAUCGCCAGAACCAAAGCAUGUUGUUUUCCCUGGUGGGUACUAAUGAAGAUUGAUUGUUACAAAAUCAGAGUUAGAAAAUGCAAAAGCUGGAAGGCCCUUGGAGAUCAUCAGACAUACAUCCCUCACUUGAUAGGUAACCAUCUAAAAGGAAAGCAGUCUGAGGUCUCCUACAAGAGCUCCUCCAGGGGUCGAAUUCCACAGCCAAGUGUCUUCACUCCAAGUCUGGGUGUCUAUUUUCCAGUCUCUCCUCAAGUGACUCUUCUUCACUCCUUUAUGUACCCACAGGCAAAUGACUUAAAUUCUUAGUUCUCCAUGUAGACAAUUUUCCAAGAUGAAAUUACAUAGAAAUUGCUAGAUUUACAUCAGUGGAAGGACUUUCCUAUACCUAUGAAAUAACGAGUUUGGAACAAAUAUCUUUCUGUCUUCCUGUCUUUCUAUCUACAUAUCGGUGUAUCUAUGUAUCCAUAUAUUUGUUUGUCUGUUCACCCAUCCAUCUGUCCAUCCAUCCAUCUAUCUACCUAUCUCACCAUGUUCUCUCUCUCCUUUCCCUCUGUUUUUCUGUUUGUGUGUGCAUAUGUCUAACUGUCCAUCUAUCUAUAUAUCUUUGUAUUAUUAACAAAAGGACUUUUCCCACCUCCACUAAAAAUUGUCUGGACAGCUAGGUGGCACAGGGAAUUGUGUACUGAACCUGAAGUCAAGAACACUCAUCUUCCUGAGUUCAACUCUGACUUCAGACAUUUACUAGCCAUGUGACACUGGGCAAGCUACUUCACCCUGUUUGCCUCCGUUUUCUCAUCUGUCCAAUGAACUGGAGAAGGAAAUGGCAAACUACUCCAGUAUCUUUGCCAAGAAAACCCCACACGGGGUCACAAAGAGUGGGACAUAUCUGAAAUGACUAAACAAUAGACUCUCAUCACUUCAUGCCCAGGCUAUUGCAAUAGCCUUUUGGCUUCCUUUCCCUGUUAGAAUGAAAACUGAACAACAACAACAAUUGUCUUUUAAUAAUCUGCUUUUAUUUUUGGAGUAAUAAUUUCUAUGUCUAAAGUUCAACCAAUAGCAAAAAAGAAAAAAAAAACCUCUAAUAGUUAAUCCCUUACAAGGGGUCAUUUGACCUUCUUUCAGAAACCCAUUGAUGGGAAGCUCAUUACUUCUCUAGGCCAUUCAUUCCACUUUUGGAUAGUUCCAUGUUAGAUGCCUCUCUCAUAUUGGAUACUAUGGCUCUAUUAAUACAGAUCACAUUAGAUAUUUUGGCUGCCAUAUUAUACUGUUGACUUAGUAUGAGCUUGGGGUCCACUAAAACUUUCCAGAUUUUUUUCAAUAUGAGCUGUUAUUUAGCUCUGCUUUUCAUUUCUUAUACUUAUAAAGUUGAUUUUUAAACUUAAAUAUAGACAUUCACAUUUAUCUCUAUAAAAUUUCAUUUUUUUUUCUAUUUUGCCCAAUGUUCUAGCCUAUCAAAGUAUUUUUGGAUAAUAAACUUUGGCAUCCAACAUGUUACCUAUUCCA